rnacentral:rRNA from 1 species
UACGUAGGGGGCUAGCGUUGUCCGGAUUUAUUGGGCGUAAAGAGCGUGUAGGCGGCCAGGUAGGUCUGCUGUGAAAACUCGAGGCUCAACCUCGAGACGUCGGCGGAAACCAUCUGGCUAGAGUCCGGAAGAGGAGAGUGGAAUUCCUGGUGUAGCGGUGAAAUGCGCAGAUAUCAGGAAGAACACCAAUGGCGAAGGCAGCUCGCUGGGGACGGUACUGACGCUGAGACGCGAAAAGCGUGGGGAGCAAACAGG